AAGACCUUGCGCUUUUGGAGCGGCCGAUGCCUGAUUAGCUUGUUGGUAAGGUAAAAGCUUACCAAGGCUUCGAUCAGUAGCUGGUCUGAGAGGACGACCAGCCACACUGGGACUGAGACACGGCCCAGACUCCUACGGGAGGCAGCAGUGGGGAAUUUUGGACAAUGGGGGCAACCCUGAUCCAGCCAUGCCGCGUGAGUGAAGAAGGCCUUCGGGUUGUAAAGCUCUUUCAGCCGGAACGAAACGGUUACGGAUAACACCCGUGACUACUGACGGUACCGGAAGAAGAAGCACCGGCUAACUACGUGCCAGCAGCCGCGGUAAUACGUAGGGUGCGAGCGUUAAUCGGAAUUACUGGGCGUAAAGCGUGCGCAGGUGGUUUUGUAAGUCAGAUGUGAAAGCCCCGGGCUCAACCUGGGAAACU
rnacentral:rRNA from 1 species